UACGGAGGGGGCGAGCGUUAUUCGGAAUUAUUGGGCGUAAAGGGCGCGUAGGCGGCUGUACAAGUCAAAGGUGAAAUCCCUCGGCUCAACUGAGGAACUGCCUUUGAAACUGUACGGCUUGAGGCCGGGAGGGGGUAGCGGAAUUCCCAGUGUAGCGGUGAAAUGCGUAGAUACUGGGAGGAACACCAGUGGCGAAGGCGGCUCACUGGCCCGAUACUGACGCUGAGGCACGAAAGCGUGGGGAGCAAACAGG
rnacentral:rRNA from 1 species